rnacentral:rRNA from 1 species
AACGAACGCUGGCGGCAUGCCUAACACAUGCAAGUCGAACGAGAUCUUCGGGUCUAGUGGCGCACGGGUGCGUAACGCGUGGGAAUCUGCCCUUUGGUUCGGAAUAACAGUUGGAAACGACUGCUAAUACCGGAUGAUGACGAAAGUCCAAAGAUUUAUCGCCAGAGGAUGAGCCCGCGUAGGAUUAGCUAGUUGGUGUGGUAAAGGCGCACCAAGGCGACGAUCCUUAGCUGAUCUGAGAGGAUGAUCAGCCACACUGGGACUGAGACACGGCCCAGACUCCUACGGGAGGCAGCAGUGGGGAAUAUUGGACAAUGGGCGAAAGCCUGAUCCAGCAAUGCCGCGUGAGAGAUGAAGGCCUUAGGGUUGUAAAGCUCUUUUACCCGGGAUGAUAAUGACAGUACCGGGAGAAUAAGCUCCGGCUAACUCCGUGCCAGCCGCCGCUGUAAAAC